AGAUCUUGAUUUAAAGAGUUUGCCCAGAUUCACAUUUACGUGCCCCAAAAAUGAUGACACUUUCACGGUAGUGUAGCCACACUCCACAGGAGGCUAAGUGUGUUUGUUUCUUUGUUUGUUUGUUUGUUUUUGAGACAGGGUCUCACUCUGUCACCCAGGCUGGAGGCCAGUAGUGGGAUCUUGGUUCACCGCAACUUGCGCCUCCUGGGUUCAAGUGAUUCUCCAACCUCAGGAUCCCAAGUACAAGAAGCAUCUUCUAAAUGGAUAAAUUCCCAGAUUCACAGGCUCUCCACAUGGACAGAUAUGAAAAUGCUCCUAUGAUAAUGGUACAAGAUGCACAAAUGAAAUACAGAGGGAUGCAGUUUUGUUUUAUACUGCUUUCAUUAAGAACCCAAUUGCACGGCAAAAUCAGUUAGUAUAUAUCUCGUUCCAUGUGACAGCCAAUUUUCCACGGAGAUUGGAAACUCUUGGAGCCUUCUAAUCCUUGAUCUCACUUCGGGAAUACAAGAGCUGGGAGUUAUAGCAUGUUUUUAAAUUGUUUAAAGUAAAGCUUUGCUGUUAACAAGCACUCAUCCCUGGCUCCUGGACAAUGGAACUUCUGUGGAUGGAUGGUGCAUUGCCUUGACUCCAGAUCUGCUUUGAUGAUGAAAUACAUCUGAGACAUACUUAUUGGUCCAACAUAGUAAGUUAUUUUUUCCCAAGGAAUUUCUUUUCAGAAAACAACAUGUAGUGCUAUAAAUAUAUUUGUCACCAAAAUAACCUGUGACAUUAUUUAUUUGACCACCUAAGUAGCAAAGUUGAUUUCAUCAUGAUUCAUUUAAUCUUUUUUUUUUUUUUUUUUGGUCAUAUUUGUACCACACGUCAAGCACUUUCUAACUUUCAUCUAGGGAUGCAGUAGGUAACAGUCCUCAUGGGGUUUACAUUCUUGUGGAAAAGAUAGAUUUUAAAAACAAAUAAAUGCAUGAUAUGGGAUAAUUUUGCAGGUAAUAAGUGCUAUAAAGAAAUAAAAUAUAUUGAAGAGAAUGGUUAGGUGGAAAUCGAUUGCUAAUGUAAGUAGCAGAAACUUUAUUAUUUGGAGGACUGUAGAAAAUUUAUCAAUCAAGGGCCCCAUAAGUAGAAAGAAAGAUAAAUAAGUAUUUCACUGAAAACAUGUACCUCUUUCACGUACUUUCAAAUCCUGUCCACUGCUUUUGAGUUUCUCUUAGAAAACCUUUCAGUUCAGAACAGAAGAAUAUAGCAACGAUUGAAGUUUAGAGUUUAGGGAUAGUGUGUGCUCAAGAUACCUGUUCAGUACCCAGCACUGUGUACAAAAUAUUUUUUAUGGUGGUAACAACGAUGAGAAAGGUCAGAAUAGCUAGGGCUUGGAAAUAAUUGCUUGGUUCA
rnacentral:lncRNA from 10 species